rnacentral:lncRNA from 1 species
CCGGAGACCGCCUGGAUUGAGUUCUACUGCGAUUGGAAGGGAGAUUCCACAGCCCACAUACUUUGGACUUUAAUUAAGUAACCAUGGCCUGUGAUUCAAUGUUGAUUCUGAUUUCAAGACAUCUCUGCCUCGAGACAGUGGAAAACCACAUGCCUUGCUCCAACUGCCACCAAGAAGAGUUCCUUUCUCUGCUAUCCUUCAGAGUGACCUUGCUCAGGCCAUGACAGUCCAUUUCUGGCUCAUACCAGCACAUUGUACAGAGCCAUGCAUAACAGUUCACACUCGUUUCCUCCCAUGUCGCCUGGGUUGGAGUCUCUGGAGCAGUGUGCAGGAAUGGGUACUGGGAGUAAGAACAGCCUGCUCAUUGCACCUUCAGGGCUGUUUAGGCCACAUUCUCUAUGGGCCACUUUCACUUGAGAAUUACUGAGUAUUGGCGAUCAGAAAACACCCAAUUCAUGAUGGGCAGCUCAGGUUGCAACGUCACCUAGUGCUCUAUGGUCAAGCAUUCAGCCUACUAGAACUAUUAGGAAAAUCCUAGUAGCUACUACUAGGGCAAGGAUGUCAUCGAAGAGUACUUCAAAUGCGAUAAUGAACAAAUAAAACUUUGGUUCAUGUUCUUUAAAAAAAAAAAAGUAGCUACUAGCUACGAGUAGCUACUACUACUAAAACUCAGGAGCUAUUUCUCAAAAGAAAAAUACUCAGUAUGAAUGAGGAACGGCUAACAGCUUUGCCUCCAAACUUUGAGGGCCUCUAUGGUGAUCCCUCUACCAAUGUUUGCAAUAGGCUCAGUAUGGCAUCAUUUCCCUCAGACGCUUUUUUUUUUUUUUUGAGGCAGAGUUUCACUCUUAGUUGCCCAGGCUGGAGUGCAAUGGCACGAUCUCGGCUCACUGCACCUUCCGCCUCCCAGGUUCAAGCAAUUCUCCUGCCUCAGCCCCCUGA